UUGAGGUGAUGGAGGUAACGUUAGUAAAGUUGGGAUUACACAGGGUCUUUGAGGUGAUGGAGGUAACGUUAGUAAAGUUAUGAUUACACAGGGACUUUGAGGUGAUGGAGGUAAUGUUAGUAAAGUUAGGAUUACACAGGGACUUUGAGGUGAUGGAGGUAACGUUAGUAAAGUUAGGAUUACACAGGGACUUUGAGGUGAUGUAGGUAACAUUAGUAAAGUUAGGAAUACACAGGGACUUUGAGGUGAUGGAGGUAACUUUAGUAAAGUUAGGAUUACACAGGGACUUUGAGGUGAUGGAGGUAACGUUAAUAAAGUUAAGAUAACACAGGGACUUUGAGGUGAUGGAGGUAACGUUAGUAUAGUUAGGAUAACACAGGGACUUUGAGGUGAUGGAGGAAACGUUAGUAAAGUUAGGAUUACACAGGGACUUUGAGGUGAUGGAGGUAACGUUAGUAAAGUUAGGAUAACACAGGGACUUUGAGGUGAUGGAGGUAACGUUAGUAAUGUUAGGAUAACACAGGGACUUUGAGGUGAUGGAGGUAACAUUAGUAAAGUUAGGAUAACACAGGGACUUUGAGGUGAUGGAGGAAACGUUAGUAAAGUUAGGAUAACACAGGGACUUUGAGGUGAUGGAGGUAAUGUUAGUAAAGUUAGGAUAACACAGGGACUUUGAGGUGAUGUAGGUAACGUUAGUAAAGUUAGGAUUACACAGGGACUUUGAGGUGAUGGAGGUAACGUUAGUAAAGUUAGGAUAACACAGGGACUUUGAGGUGAUGGAGGUAACGUUAGUAAAGUUAGGAUUACACAGGGACUUUGAGGUGAUGGAGGUAACGUUAGUAAAGUUAGGAUUACACAGGGACUUUGAGGUGAUGUAG